ACAUACUUCCCAUAAGAGCGGAUUACAUUCUGUAUCACAUUAAAAUUGAUGUGUUUUUUUAUAAUUUGUGUUAUUAUAAAAAUGGUAAGAAGCUGAAGCCAAAGCCGAACUGUAACAGUGUGGAUCUGUCAGAGGUGGAGUGGGAAGAUACAGAAGACACAGUAAGUGGAACAACACACACAUACAUAUAAAUAAACAUACACACACUCUUAUCACGCCAUUUUUAGAUCAAUUGCUUCUAGGUGUUUGUGUGUUUUGAUCCUCUAGUUGAGAACAGCAAUGGUAAAAGGAGAAAGUGGGACACUCUCUCUGGACAUCAGAGCAACAGUAGAGAAAGGAGUUGAUUUUGACCUUUAAUUCGCUUCUUAACAUACUGUGAGACUGACAUCGAUCCACUUCAUCGCAAACUGACACAGUUUCAGGCUGUGGUUCGGUACCUAACAGGGAAAGAACCAGAACUGGAAUGUGAUGAAAGACUUCUGCAGCACACUUUGUUUGACGCAGUGGUCACAGCUCCUAUGGAAGCCUACUGGACCGCACUGCUGCUCAACACCUCCGGAAUUGAUGGGGGUGUGGAGACAGCGUUCCUGGGCACACGCUCCGGCCUCAUGAGAAUGAUCAGAUAUGUCAGCAUAGAGAAACAUGUGGCGAAAAAAUUCUUAUCUCUGUCGGAUAAGGAGAAUAUUUUUACUCUGGACCAUUUCCCUGUUUGGUAUCAGCGUGUGGCAGAGAAUCCAGCUGGACGCUUUUUGUACUACGUCCCUAUAGAGGACAGCACACAAGGUAGCCUGCACCCUGCAGUCCACAUCAUACAUACGAGGAGACUUUACACCCUGUUUAGAGUAUCGUUCUCAGUAUUUAUUUAUUG